GACGAACGCUGGCGGCGUGCUUAACACAUGCAAGUCGAACGGAAAGGCCCUGCUUUUGUGGGGUGCUCGAGUGGCGAACGGGUGAGUAACACGGGAGUAACCUGCCCUUGACUUUGGGAUAACUUCAGGAAACUGGGGCUAAUACCGGAUAGGAGCUCCUGCUGAAUGGUGGGGGUUGGAAAGUUUCGGAGGUUGGGGAUGGACUCGCGGCUUAUCAGCUUGUUGGUGGGGUAGUGGCUUACCAAGGCUUUGACGGGUAGCCGGCCUGAGAGGGUGACCGGCCACAUUGGAACUGAGAUACGGCCCAGACUCCUACGGGACGCAGCAGUGGGGAAUAUUGCACAAUGGGCGGAAGCCUGAUGCAGCAACGCCGCGUGCGGGAUGACGGCCUUCGGGUUGUAAACCGCUUUCGCCUGUGACGAAGCGUGAGUGACGGUAAUGGGUAAAGAAGCACCGGCUAACUACGUG
rnacentral:rRNA from 1 species